rnacentral:rRNA from 1 species
AUUGAACGCUGGCGGCAUGCCUUACACAUGCAAGUCGAACGGCAGCACGGGGGCAACCCUGGUGGCGAGUGGCGGACGGGUGAGUAAAGCAUCGGAACGUACCCUGUCGAGGGGGGAUAACGUAGCGAAAGUUACGCUAAUACCGCAUAAGACCUGAGGGUGAAAGUGGGGGACUGGAAACGGCCUCACGCGAUGGGAGCGGCCGAUGUCGGAUUAGCUAGUUGGUGGGGUAAAGGCCUACCAAGGCGACGAUCCGGUAGCGGGUCUGAGAGGAUGAUCCGCCACACUGGGACUGAGACACGGCCCAGACUCCUACGGGAGGCAGCAGUGGGGAAGUUUUGGACAAUGGGCGCAAGCCUGAUCCAGCCAUGCCGCGUGGAGGACGAAGGCGCUCAGCGUUGUAAACUUCUUUUGUACGGGAACAAAACCACCAAUGCGUUGGUGUCUGAGGGUACCGUAAGAAUAAGCACCGGCUAACUCCGUGCCAGCAGCC